CUACUCCCUGCCCACCAUUUGGCCUCUGGCAGCGAGGGAUAACUGAAUUACAGUAACAGCAAAAAGCUAAUCUCACUUCCUCUGUGGGGGUCUCAUGUGUGUGCACUUGUUCGCCUGUCUGUGGGGUGUUGUGAGUGUUCAUUUGUGAGGCUGUGUGCAUUCGUUCAGGCUCAGCAUGGAUUUUGGAAAGCAUGUUAUCCUGACAGUGAGAGUGUAUGUUUACUAGAUGAAGAUGAAGUCUCCCAUCCAACUGUCCUGCAGGGACCAGAAGGCAGAAUGAGAAGGACAAAAGUGUGAGGUGUCCCACAGCUGCAGAACUGCAACCUAAAUUAGCCCGGACCACAUGAAAAGCUGUCGUCUCUAUUCUAGGCCGGGGCGGGAAAAUUACAGCCCUGCUCUCUCUACUCUAGCAUUAAACCUCAAUUAGUGCACAACUACACCGAUGAUGUCAUCACCGAGGGACCCAAGAGCCCUGAAAAUAAGGGGUGCUUUGCUUUACGAACCACCUCAAACUUCCAGGUCCUCUCUGAGGCAGCUCAGCGGCGGAGAAAGGUUAUUCCAUCCAGCUGGCGAGAAAUAAGGUGAUGUUCUUUUGAUAUGGCCUGAAAAUAAACAAGA